rnacentral:rRNA from 1 species
UGGGAAUUUUGGACAAUGGGCGAAAGCCUGAUCCAGCAAUGCCGCGUGUGUGAAGAAGGCCUUCGGGUUGUAAAGCACUUUUGUCCGGAAAGAAAUCCUUGGCUCUAAUACAGUCGGGGGAUGACGGUACCGGAAGAAUAAGCACCGGCUAACUACGUGCCAGCAGCCGCGGUAAUACGUAGGGUGCAAGCGUUAAUCGGAAUUACUGGGCGUAAAGCGUGCGCAGGCGGUUUGCUAAGACCGAUGUGAAAUCCCCGGGCUCAACCUGGGAACUGCAUUGGUGACUGGCAGGCUAGAGUAUGGCAGAGGGGGGUAGAAUUCCACGUGUAGCAGUGAAAAUGCGUAGAGAUGUGGAGGAAUACCGAUGGCGAAGGCAGCCCCCUGGGCCAAAUACUGACGCUCAUGCACGAAAGCGUGGGGAGCAAAACAGGAUUAGAUACCCUGGUAGUCCACGCCCUAAACGAUGUCAACUAGUUGUUGGGGAUUCAUUUCCUUAGUAAUGUAGCUAACGCGUGAAGUUGACCGCCUGGGGAGUACGGUCGCAAGAUU